rnacentral:rRNA from 1 species
GAUGAACGCUGGCGGCGUGCCUAAUACAUGCAAGUCGAGCGAACAGACGAGGAGCUUGCUCCUCUGACGUUAGCGGCGGACGGGUGAGUAACACGUGGAUAACCUACCUAUAAGACUGGGAUAAUUUCGGAAAACCGGAGCUAAUACCGGAUAAUAUAUUGAACCGCAUGGUUCAUUAGUGAAAGACGGUUUUGCUGUCACUUUUAGAUGGAUCCGCGCCGCAUUAGCUAGUUGGUAAGGUAACGGCUAACCAAGGCAACGAUGCGUAGCCGACCUGAGAGGGUGAUCGGCCACACUGGAACUGAGACACGGUCCAGACUCCUACGGGAGGCAGCAGUAGGGAAUCUUCCGCAAUGGGCGAAAGCCUGACGGAGCAACGCCGCGUGAGUGAUGAAGGUCUUCGGAUCGUAAAACUCUGUUAUUAGGGAAGAACAAAUGUGUAAGUAACUAUGCACGUCUUGACGGUACCUAAUCAGAAAGCCACGGCUAACUACGUG